rnacentral:rRNA from 1 species
GAUGAACGCUAGCGGCAGGCUUAACACAUGCAAGUCGAGGGGUAGUCUAGCAAUAGAUGAGACCGGCGCACGGGUGCGUAACGCGUAUGCGACCUACCUUUUACAGAGGGAUAGCCCAGAGAAAUUUGGAUUAAUACCUCAUAGUAUAUGUCCUUCGCAUGUUAGACAUAUUAAAGUUCCAACGGUAAAAGAUGGGCAUGCGUCCUAUUAGCUAGAUGGUAAGGUAACGGCUUACCAUGGAAAAGAUAGUUAGGGGUCCUGAGAGGGAGAUCCCCCACACUGGUACUGAGACACGGACCAGACUCCUACGGGAGGCAGCAGUGAGGAAUAUUGGACAAUGGGCGCAAGCCUGAUCCAGCCAUGCCGCGUGCAGGAAGACGGUCCUAUGGAUUGUAAACUGCUUUUGUACGGGAAGAAACACUCCCUCGUGAGGGAGCUUGACGGUACCGUAAGAAUAAGGAUCGGCUAACUCCGUGCCAGCAGCCGCGGUAAAAC